AAAUAUCAAACCAUAGUAAUAAUAAAUAAAAGUAAUAGUAAAAUAAUACCAAUGCAAUGCAGAUGACAAAUUGAAUUUAGUUCCAUAAGUUAAUCAUGUGAGGGCCCGAGCUGCUCAUGACCGUGAGCACGGUUGAUAUACCAGUUUUACACUCUCAGAGGUUGCAUAUCUUUACCCACAAGUCAUAGACGGGCCUCGCCGCAGCACACCCCUGUGCCCCCAAACUCCAUUCUAACGGGUUGUACACGACUAUGG
rnacentral:lncRNA from 1 species